CCUCGUCGACAAUCUUCACGAAGCGGUCGAUCUGCUCUGGGCCUGGCGAGCAGAAGUCUGGGAUGCGCAGUCGGUGCAGGGUGAGGCCGGGGCAGCUGUCGCUGUGCGGGGGCCCGCGCUCCGUCAGUGACACCAGAUGAGAAAACUGAAGCUCUGGAGAGGUUCAGGAACUUGACCAAGAGAUGACUGUUGGUGGGGGGUUUGAAACCAAGCAGCCUGGCUCCAGAAUCUUUAACAAAACGGUAUUGUAUUCUAAAGUUAAAUAGAAGGUUACUGCCUUUUUACCUAGCCAUCCUCAUGUCCCUUAGCUGGGUUAAACAGUUGCAGGAUUUGUUAAUUUUUCUUCAUAUUUCCUGAUUCUCAGGUUCUGUGAGUCACCCUUCCCUGGGGAGGCUAGAGUUUCUCUGUGUCAUUCAUAGCAGGUGGGGAACUAGAUCUGAAUACAGUGUCUUAACUGUGAUCUGACUGGUUCAUAUCCUCAUUUGAACAAUGUGCUUCUAGUGAUCAGACUAAUUAUAAUUAUGAAAAUAGUUAACCCUUAUUGAAUUUGCUUAUGUACCAGGCCCUGUGCCAGGUGCUUUCUGGAAGAGCCACAUUGGGAAGGUAUUUUUAUAUCUCUUUUGCACAUGCGUAAUCUGAGGCUUAAAGAAGUUGGUUAACUUAGCCAAGCACACAUAGCUAGUAAGUAGCUGGGCUGGUUGAGCCAAGGUCUCUCUCAUUCCAAGCCCAGCGUACCUAGUCAUGAAGAUGUACUUCCCUCCUUCUGUUCCCAUCUACCCCUGACACACACAUUUGGUUCCAGCAAAAUGAAAAGGAAUUUUUCUUCCUCCAAAGAUCAAAGCCUGCUCUGACCCUGUGGAAAAUGCACUUACCGUUUACCCAGGCAGCUCUGAAGCAUCGCCUCUGCCUACUCUCCCCAGGUUCCAGGAGCUGCCAGAUCUACCCUUUCCCUUUCUUCUGUACAAUCACAGCCCUGAUUAAGCCCUUCCUGUCUGCACUCCCAUUUCCCACACAACUCCCUAUGACUCUUUCUAGCCCAUCCCAAUUUAUUCCUAUUGUGCCCUUCAGCCACCAGUCACCCCUUCUCCCCUCCCAGCAACUCCUCUCAAUCCCUUGCUCAGGAUUUCUGACUGCACUGCCUCUGGAGACAAGACUCCAGCACUUGCUCCUUUCAGGUUGAACUUUUCUCAGUCCCUUUUCCUUGCUGUCCUUUCUUUGCUCCCUCACUCAUAAGGGGAAAACUUCCCACAUCUCUCUCCACUACCCUAUGCCCCUUCCUUGCCUCCUUGAGAUCCAGCUCAAAGCCCAUCUUUUUCAGAAAGAAGACAUUUCGCGGGGGGAGACAGAGAUUCCCAUGUGGGUCUCUGCAGGGGUUGAAGUGCAUCCAUCAACCCACCUGGGCUUCCUUUGUAGGAAUUCCUCCCUCUUUACUGCUCUGCCUCUGGCUUCCAACAGGUCCCUGCCUUGGUCUGUGUCCCAUUGUCAAGAAUAUUAUUUAAUUUUCUGUCUUGGGCCCAGGGGGCCUCACGUUGAAAGAAAAACUCCUUUCUGAUGGUUUCCUGGCUAGGAUCCCGGCAACUAAACAAUGUCAGCUCCCUGCACGUAGCCCCCAACCUCAUGCAAUACUGAGCUUCUUUUCCUUUCUCUUCUGUGUUACCUGACCUUCAGUAAGAUUUAAUCUUCAUACUCCCAUCUCAUUUUAUAUAAAUAUGUACUCCUAGUAUAGCAGUUAGUUUAUUGGAUUGGGGUUAUCUGUGUCAGAGCCAAGAAGGCAUCAUUCCAUCUUCAGAUUUCACACAUCUAAUACAGAGCCUGAUACCCAGUGCUCAAAAUUGUUAAAUGAAUGAAAAAAUAAGUAGAAUGCAUAGGCCAGACUGUGAAGAUACAUUUCUGGGAGUGUAGGAGAGUCUCCAGGACUAUGUGACAAUGUGUGUUUAUGUGUCUUUUUUUUUUUUUUCCACCAGCAAGGUGAGUUUACUCAGGAAUAGUAGAGAAUUGCAAUUCGGGACAAGCAAACUAUGGCAAACCAUAAACAGGUUCUGGGAACAGAGGAGAGGGGCUUGCUUUUAUAGAGGAAAGGAAGAAUUGAGGAGGGCUGUGACAGUUCUUCAUUGGCUGCAGCCGGUGGCAGCUUGUUGUUGAUGGGCCAGAAGGAAAUCUUUCUUCCUUCUGGGGUGUUUGUGUGUCUUUUUUUUUUUUUUUUUUUUGCGGUACGCGGGCCUGUCACUAUUGUGGCCUCUCCCGCUGCGGAGCACAGGCUCCGGACGCGCAGGCUCAGCGGCCAUGGCUCAGGGGCCCAGCCGCUCCACGGCAUGUGGGACCCUCCCAGACCAGGGCACGAACCCGUGUCCCCUGCAUCGGCAGGUGGACUCUCAACCACUGCGCCACCAGGGAAGCCCUGUGUGUCUUUUUAAUUGCAUGAGUUUGAGGACUAUUUGAGUGCGGUGUAGUACCUUCUUGAGAUGUACUUUUUAACAUGUGUGUGCUUUUAAGGAGAGAAUGACUGUGUCAGUAUGAUCCUGGCUAAGUCUAAUUACUGUUUUGUAAAAAGGGAAAAAUAAGCCUUGCUCUUUGCAGAGCCCUGCUCCUGUUGUGUGCGUGUGUUUGAUCUUGUGUGCAUGUAAGUGUGUUGAGGGAGAUAUUUUCCUGGAGAACAAUCUGUUGACACUGACAGUGGGCUGAGUGAUAAGCUUAAUUUCCCUGACUUCAAGGAAUUUACAACAUGCUGGGGGCGGAUUUAGACUCAAAAGUAAUUGUUCUCAUAAUAUAUAGUAAAGUACUAAAUUACUCAUCAAAGACAAUCAGAUCAUAUAUAUUGAAAAGUUAAUUGUGCAGUAAAAAUAAUAAGCACAAGAGAAGUCAGUGGGGGAAAGAUAAACUUGGGUUGGAACCACCGGAAAAGUCUUAUGAGGACAGCGGUCUUCGUUCCCUUUUGUUCUCGGCCCAUAUUGUGAAAUACUGGAAAUAACAUUAUUUGGAAGCUCAACAGAACAGUUUUAGAGCAUCCUAGCUCCCCCUUCCCCAGCUGAUAAGACUGUUUUGACCUAAUUCUCUUUGAUGUUGAGGCCCCCAGUUCCUUGAGGGCUUGAUGCUAGUGGCAGUUGGAGGUGAAACCAGAGACAGAGAUUCCUUUCUCCAAGUAGGUCCCUGUGUCCCACCAAGGCAGAGGAUUGCUUGGGUUUGGGUUCCUGUGGCCCUUGGACUGUAGUCAGAGCUCUCAGUGUCUUAAAUGUUAGGAUCUUUUGUCUAAACACAUCUCACACCUGGGACCCAAUGAUGUGGAAAUUGGGUUACAGAAGGGAUGGUGUGGUAGCCAACCUCAAAGACCACCUCAUGUCUUUUCCACAUUGAUAGGCCUGGCUUGUGUAACAAGUAGAAUAUUGUGGACAUGAUGGUGUGUGACUUCUUAGGUUAAAUCACAAAAGACAGUAUGGUUUUGACUUGCCCUUUUGUGGGAGAAGCCAGCUGCCAUAUUAGGAGGACACUCAAGGAGUCUAAUGAGAGAUCCAUGGGGGGAGGCUUCAUACCAGCAUCACGUACGAGAACUUGCUGUUUUGGAAGUGGAUCCUCUGGCCCCAUCAAGACCUUAGAUGACCUGCCCAACAUCUUGACAAUAACCUCACAGGUUCCCUGAGCCAGAAUCACCCAGCUAGUCCUCCCUUGAAUUUCUUACCCACGGAAACUAUGAGAUAAUAAAUAUUGAUUAUUUUAAGCCAUCAAAUUUAGGGGGAAUUUCUCAUGCAGCAAAUAGGAAAACAAUACAGAUGGGAAUAUUCAGAUAAAAGGAAAGAAGAGAAAUAAUUUCUAAUAAACUUAAGAAGCGAAAUAAUAUCAAGUUUAUUUUUCAAAGAAAAAGUUAUACUAUAAGCAGUUGUAGUCUAAGUGUGCGUGUGUGUUUUUGGGGGAUAGGGUGUUGAGAUAGGUCAGUGCAAAGUUUCCACAUCUGGAGAACCAUGCUGUGUAGAGGAACCAAGCAGAAUAGUUUGGGUGUGGGUUUUGGGUGUUAAUGGUGUGGGAGGUACGGGGUUUGAUGUGGUAUUUGUGUAGUUAGGGACGAUAUACAAAUGAUUUAAUAACUGGCCAUGGCACAGGAGGCAAGCAACCAGAAUGGACCCUCUACCCAUCAGCACCAUUGCCUACAAACAAAUGGUGAUGCUAUCCUGCUGUUAAUGGAUGCACAUUGGUGUCAAGUGUAGAGGCUUUGACAUGAUCUGGGGUGUGGUCAGGUUACCUUGGACAUUUCAAUAUAGGUCUUUCCACAAGAUGGCACUGACAGCCUGAUAGCUUUUCCUUGUUUCACUCGCUCUCUCUCUCUCUCUCUCUUUUUUUUUUUUGUAUUUAUGA